AGUGGCAACUACAACCAGGCCCUCGAGACUUACAAGUACAUACACAGGAGGUUCCCAGACAACGUCGAAUGCCUGAAGUUCCUGGUACGUAUCUGCUCUGACCUGGGACUGAAGUAGGCCCAGGAGUACGCCACGAAGCUGAAGAAGGCUGAGAAAGCCAAGGAGCUGAAGGACCAGCGCACUAACAGCGCCUCACGGAGGGGCUCGGGACGGCGCAGGGAGGGGAGUGCAGAGGGAGACCGUGAGGGCAGUGCUGGUAUGCGACCCGCGGGCAAGCGAGGGGGUGCAGCAGGUGCUCCUGGGCAGCGCCGCAGACCAAACCUUGAUGAGGCAGACGAGGAUGUGUACAGGCCUCGCAAACAGGAAGUGGAUCCCUCGUACUCAGACCCCCUCGGGCCCCAGAUGGAGCGACCCAAACUACUGCGGCAAAACGACGCGACCCUUGAUGACGACUUUGCUGAUGAGGAGUUGGGCGAGGGAUUUGUUGCCAGAAUAGACUUGACAGGAUGAUACGGGACAGAUAGGUCGAGAGGGACAGAUUGGAAGAGAUGGAAUGGGACUCAGUGGGAUCAUCAUUAGAGAAAUAUUUGACAUCUCUGGAACUGUUACUCUCUAUGGAAGUUGUUUGCUAUAAAAUAUACAAUAAGGUUUAUUUUAGGCAAAUUAAAGUUUGAGCAUUUCCAGAAUGCAAGAAUUAAAACAAAUAAAAUUAUACAAAGAAAUUUCAUUAUAUUGUUUAUAAAACUAUACAAAAAAUUGCUAAUACUAAAAACAAUGUAUUAUUAAAUCAUGAAAGUACAUGUAGUAGGAAGUACAUAUUUAUUGUCCCACAGAGCAUAUGCUAUUUUUAUCAAAUUUCUCCUCUGUCGGUUGCUGAAGUGUUUUAUUGAUAUUUAUUGUGAUAUACUGUUAUUUAUUGACAUUCCGUCCCUUAUUCUGUGAUUAAUCGGAUACUUGUAUGAAAUAUUUUGCUUGCUUAGUAUCUGCAAAUUCUGCUUCAAGAUUACAUCAUAGAUAAACAUUCAGUAUUCAUUUUUAUUGACAUUCACUAUUUGACAUUUCUUUUUGAUUGAAUAUUUGUGUGUUUCAGUUUUCAUAUUGCAAAUGUUUUAAAUAUAAGAAAUAAGCAUACAAAUAAAUUGUGAUGUAGAUCUUUA